GGGGUCGUAGCUCAGUUGGUAGAGCGCCACAAUCGCACUGUGGAGGUCAGGAGUUCGACUCUCCUCGGCUCCACCA
rnacentral:tRNA from 1 species